AUGAACAAUGUAAUUAGAGCAUCUAGCUCCAUUUCCCGUUUGGCUGCUGAGCAAGCUGUUGGAUCAUCACCUAACCAAGAUGCAAGUUCCAGCUCAGACAAUGAGUCCAAUCCUGAGGUGGACUUGGUUCCGACUAUUCCUGAGGGAGGACCAUUCAGACAGGGUGAUUUCAAGUCCGUCUAUGAUUAUUUAUCCACGAUUCAAAAGCGUCUUUUGUACAUAAACAAGAGGUUGGACAGUUUACUAGAAAAGUGCAAAAGUUUGUACAUUCCUCGUGAUCCUCGUGUCAGAACUGAAAUUUGUGAAAAUGCCAAUAUUGAUGUCGCCAACUAUAACACUAGUCGUCUUGUCUGUCCUGUUUGUUAUUGUGAUCUUUUAAGAGCAGAAGCAGCACCUUUGUCUACUAAAUGCGGGCACAUAUUUUGCUCUGCGUGCCUCAUUCAGAUUAUGGUAAUGGAUGAAAGCAAGUGUCCAAAUUGUCGAAAACCUCUUACCACUACGGACUACCAUCCAGUGUUUUUCCCGCAACUCCUGAGCUAGGUCGCUCAAAUAUCUGAACAUCAUCAAAACCACUCUCUAACUAAACCGAGCUGUCGCGAAUGAAAUUUAUGACGGGCAAGGAUGCUCUGAUUGCUACGACUCAUGCCCAAGAGGAUUCGAGAACCACCCUUGGAGGUAAGCCUUCUCCCUUGUUAAAGUUCAAUGGUUGUGACAAAGCUUGCCGCAACGGCUAAGACAUACCGUAAGAACGACCACAGAGUGGCAACCCUCUAUCGGUCAGUGUGAGACUUUUGUUCUCUAUAGGCGAAUUUUCGCUUGGAUUUGGU
rnacentral:lncRNA from 1 species